rnacentral:rRNA from 1 species
AGAGUUUGAUCAUGGCUCAGAACGAACGCUGGCGGCAUGCCUAACACAUGCAAGUCGAACGGGAUCCUGACUUCGGUCAGGUGAGAGUGGCGGACGGGUGAGUAACGCGUGGGAACCUGCCCAUUGGUCUGGGAUAACUGCGGGAAACUGCAGCUAAUACCGGAUGUACCCGAGAGGGGAAAGAUUUAUCGCCGAUGGAGGGGCCCGCGUCAGAUUAGGUAGUUGGUGAGGUAACGGCUCACCAAGCCUACGAUCUGUAGCUGGUCUGAGAGGAUGAUCAGCCACACUGGGACUGAGAUACGGCCCAGACUCCUACGGGAGGCAGCAGUGGGGAAUAUUGGACAAUGGGGGCAACCCUGAUCCAGCAAUGCCGCGUGAGUGAUGAAGGCCUUAGGGUUGUAAAGCUCUUUUACCAGGGACGAUGAUGACGGUACCUGGAGAAUAAGCCCCGGCUAACUUCGUGCCAGCAGCCGCGGUAAUACGAAGGGGGCUAGCGUUGUUCGGAAUUACUGGGCGUAAAGGGCGCGUAGGCGGCCGAUCAAGUCAGAUGUGAAAGUCCUGGGCUUAACCUGGGGACUGCAUUUGAUACUGAUUGGCUUGAAUUCGGGAGAGGAUAGCGGAAUUCCCAGUGUAGAGGUGAAAUUCGUAGAUAUUGGGAAGAACACCGGUGGCGAAGGCGGCUAUCUGGACCGACAUUGACGCUGAGGCGCGAAAGCGUGGGGAGCAAACAGGAUUAGAUACCCUAGUAGUCC